rnacentral:ncRNA from 1 species
GAAAACCAUAUUCGAUGAAAGUCGAAUGUACGGCUUGGAGGGAAAUCUUUCAUAUUUUUCGAGAUCCACCCUACAAUAUGAGAUCAAAAAGCCAAAAUAAAUGAUUUUAACCCUUAU